rnacentral:rRNA from 1 species
GAUGAACGCUAGCUACAGGCUUAACACAUGCAAGUCGAGGGGAGACGACAUCGAAAGCUUGCUUUUGAUGGGCGUCGACCGGCGCACGGGUGAGUAACGCGUAUCCAACCUGCCCAUCACUUGGGAAUAACCUUGCGAAAGUAAGACUAAUACCCAAUGAUAUCCCACGAAGGCAUCGGAAUGGGAUUAAAGAUUUAUCGGUGAUGGAUGGGGAUGCGUCUGAUUAGCUUGUUGGCGGGGUAACGGCCCACCAAGGCAACGAUCAGUAGGGGUUCUGAGAGGAAGGUCCCCCACAUUGGAACUGAGACACGGUCCAAACUCCUACGGGAGGCAGCAGUGAGGAAUAUUGAUCAAUGGGCGAGAGCCUGAACCAGCCAAGUAGCGUGCAGGAAGACGGCCCUAUGGGUUGUAAACUGCUUUUAUAAGGGAAUAAAGUGGGUCACGUGUGACUUUUUGCAUGUACCUUAUGAAUAAGGACCGGCUAAUUCCGUG